rnacentral:rRNA from 1 species
CGAUCAGCAAUGUGAAGUGCAGAAUUCAGUGAAUUCCUCGAAUCUUUGAACGCACAUUGCGCCCGCCAGUUAUUCUGGCGGCCCUGUCUGUUCGAGCGUCUUUCCAACUCCACAAGCCUAGCUUGCUGUUGUGACUCGCGAGUUAUUAUUGAUGUCCCUACAUAGAUUUUUUGUUCACGAU